GAUGAACGCUGGCGGCGUGCCUAAUACAUGCCAGUCGAGCGAACGGACGAGAAGCUUGCUUCUCUGAUGUUAGCGGCGGACGGGUGAGUAACACGUGGAUAACCUACCUAUAAGACUGGGAUAACUUCGGGAAACCGGAGCUAAUACCGGAUAAUAUUUUGAACCGCAUGGUUCAAAAGUGAAAGACGGUCUUGCUGUCACUUAUAGAUGGAUCCGCGCUGCAUUAGCUAGUUGGUAAGGUAACGGCUUACCAAGGCAACGAUGCAUAGCCGACCUGAGAGGAUGAUCAGCCACACUGGAACUGAGACACGGUCCAGACUCCUACGGGAGGCAGCAGUAGGGAAUCUUCGGCAAUGGGCGAAAGCCUGACGGAGCAACGCCGCGUGAGUGAUGAAGGUCUUCGGAUCGUAAAACUCUGUUAUUAGGGAAGAACAUAUGUGUAAGUAACUGUGCACAUCUUGACGGUACCUAAUCAGAAAGCCACGGCUAACUACGUG
rnacentral:rRNA from 1 species